rnacentral:rRNA from 1 species
GACAGAGGAUGCAAGCGUUAUCCGGAAUGAUUGGGCGUAAAGCGUCUGUAGGUGGCUUUUUAAGUCUGCCGUCAAAUCCCAGGGCUUAACCCUGGACAGGCGGUGGAAACUACCAAGCUGGAGUACGGUAGGGGCAGGGGGAAUUUCCGGUGGAGCGGUGAAAUGCGUAGAGAUCGGAAAGAACACCAACGGCGAAAGCACUCUGCUGGGCCGACACUGACGCUGAUGCGCGAAAGCAAGGGGAGCGAACGGG